ensembl:snRNA U6 U6 spliceosomal RNA
GUGUUCACUUUGGCAGCACAUAUACUAAAAUUGGAUACAGAGAAGAUUAGCAUGGCCCCUGUACCAGGAUGAUACACACAAAUUUGUGAAGCAUUCCAUAUUAAA